rnacentral:lncRNA from 1 species
UAAAGUUAGGUUAGGUUGGCCGAACAGCGUUCAGUGGGGCCACUCAUAGGGGAGUAUGUAUCUUAGUUAUUCUGAUGGGGGGUAUGAACCAUCGCGGCCGCAUUUAGGCUCGCUUAAAGUCCUCGAGAAUCGAGGUGUUCUUGACAAAUGCAAGUAGUUCGCCUGACGUCAUUUUUUAGGCAUCUUUAAGGCGCUAAGGCGCCUAGGCAUCUUUUCCUUGCUUGUGCGAGGGCCGGACAGAUGCAGAUGAGAUGUUCCCUGGUUUCCGUGCCCCAGGCUCGUCACAUUUCCAGCAGCUGUCUCGGCUGGUGAUGCCUAGUUUGGUUGCUUGUGAGGAUUCCCACUACUAGUCUGCAGUCCUUUCGUGUGAGGUGCACUGG